rnacentral:lncRNA from 1 species
CCAUGCUGAAACGGUGUGCGCAGAUGUGAGGCCAACAGCAGAGGCAGAAAGGCUUUGUCAACACCAGCAAAUCACUGAUUCUACCUCUGCAAGGUCAGCUUCUGAAGGCAACGUGUCUAAGACCACGGCUCCACAACCGGAGUUCUUUGACAUACAAAUGGAUGUGCGGAGUUGGAGCAGAGGUGCAUCUAGUGAAGUAACCAAUCUCCUAAUGCAUGCUUAGGAAAGAGAAAAAGAACAAGCUGAGUAGUCUGUGGUAUCGAGAGAUUUUGCCUUGUCCAAGUUUCACCAGCAAGCCCUGGUGUGGAGAUGGAAGGUGCUGUUUUCUCACAGUAAAACUUCCUGGGCUUUCUGUACAUAUUGUCUCAUCUCCUACUGAUUUAAAACUAAACAUGCAAGUAAUCAGACAACAGAUGACUUUCGGAGCACAUCACCAAACAGAACUUCAAAAAACAUUCUUUGAAAGCAUCUGA